GACGAACGCUGGCGGCGUGCCUAAUACAUGCAAGUCGAACGGGGUCCAUGGAAGCUUGCUUUCGGAAGACCUAGUGGCGAACGGGUGAGUAACACGUGAGAAACCUGCCCCAGACUCUGGAAUAACUCAGGGAAACUUGAGCUAAUGCCGGAUAUGCUCACGCGACCGCAUGGUCGAGUGAGGAAAGUUUUUCGGUCUGGGAGGGUCUCGCGGCCUAUCAGCUAGUUGGCGGGGUAACGGCCCACCAAGGCAACGACGGGUAGCUGGUUUGAGAGAACGAUCAGCCACACUGGAACUGAGACACGGUCCAGACUCCUACGGGAGGCAGCAGUAGGGAAUCUUGCGCAAUGGGCGAAAGCCUGACGCAGCAACGCCGCGUGCGGGAUGAAGGCCCUCGGGUCGUAAACCGCUUUCAGUAGGGACGAAGAUGACGGUACCUACAGAAGAAGCCCCGGCUAAAUACGUG
rnacentral:rRNA from 1 species